GCGCACUCGUAAUGCGCAGGUCGCCGGUUCAAAUCCGGCCAUCGGCUCCA
rnacentral:tRNA from 1 species